rnacentral:rRNA from 1 species
GACAGAGGGUGCAAACGUUGUUCGGAAUUACUGGGCGUAAAGCGCGUGUAGGCGGCUAAGUAAGUCGGGCGUGAAAUCCCACGGCUCAACCGUGGAAGUGCACUCGAAACUGCAUAGCUAGAGUCCUGGAGAGGAAGGUGGAAUGCUUGGUGUAGAGGUGAAAUUCGUAGAUAUCAAGCGGAACACCGGUGGCGAAGGCGGCCUUCUGGACAGUGACGUGACGCAUGAGA